ACCUAACACACCCUUAAUAUAGCAGCGUGGUGCUGCGGUGCUGCCUACAAAUCGCCGACGGCUGCAAAAACACCUGAAAAUCGAUAUGAUGCUAGCUUUCAGCAUGUCCAUCGCCGGUUUCCUGCUCCUCGUAGUCAUCGUAGCAGCUGCUUCCUCUUCCUUCACCGGCGUCCACGCGGGCGCCGCCUGUGCGCCCAAGGAGAGGGACGCCCUCCUGGCGUUCAAGCAAGGCAUCACCAGCGACCCCGGGGGCCUCCUGGCGUCAUGGCAGCCAGAAGAUGAGCAUGACUGCUGCCAAUGGGGAGGAGUCCAGUGCAGCAACCUUACGGGCCAUGUCCUCGAGCUGCACCUCGGAGGCGGAGGUCUGACCGGAGAGAUAAGUCGUUCUCUGCUCUCCUUGCAGCAUCUUGAAUAUGUCGAUGUCAGCAUGAACAGCCUCCAGGGGUCGACCGGCCAAGUCCCGGAGUUCCUAGGAUCUUUCAAGAACCUAAGAUAUCUUAACCUCUCUAGCAUACCGUUUUCCGGUAGGGUGCCUCCUCAGCUUGGCAACCUCUCAAAGCUGCACUAUCUUGAUCUUUCAAACACUAGUUCGCAGCAGCAGUACAUGUACUCCACUGAUCUCUCGUGGUUAACACACCUACCUUUGUUGCAGUACCUCAACAUGGAGUCAGUAAAUCUUAGCAUGGUAACUAACUGGCCGUAUAUGGUGAAUAUGUUGCCUUCUUUGAGGGUCCUUAUUCUCGAUGAUUGCUCGCUAACAAGUGCAAACCAAUCGCUCCCACACCUUAACCUUACAAACCUUGAGGAGCUCUAUCUCUCCUCCAAUAGCUUUCAACACCCAGUUGCAUCUUGUUGGUUUUGGAACCUAACAAGCCUAGUGUACCUCUCCCUCGAGGGAUAGCUCAGUUGAUAGAGUCUCCAGCUAAGAGUCUGUCUAUCUAAACUCCUAACUCGUGUGCUAGUAAAAAGUGGGUACCUCUUUGAAAAUUGGUUUCAACGAGUUUUCUAAUUAACUAAGGUUCGGUACUCCCCUCUUUAAGACGAAGCCAAGGGGUUUCUUCCCGUGAUCGAGUUUUUUUUUUUCAGUUGUAUUGUUGAUAGCCAAUAAGGGAAAAAAGAGGGAGUCAUCAGUACAUCUACAGUACCAACUUUGGGAAGAAGGAAUAAACAGCCAGUUUUUGCAGAAAGCGUUCUGCUUUCGCAUGAGCCUUUGGUCGGGUAAGUAUGAAGAAAACAGAGCAUGGCACAACAUCAAUAUACACGACUGAUAGAACGAACUUCCCAGAAAUCUCCUCUACAAUUGCUACCUAGCAGAUUGCUCGUGUACGCCCAAGGAAAAACAGAUGCAGCAGACAGUAAGGUGGUAAUUGUCCUGAGAGCCAUUUUUUAAAGAUUAAUGCUACCGUACUAUCCGACGACCUCACCUGAUAGUUCGGUGCAACUUUCUAAGUUGAUUUGGAAUUAGGGGCUGUUUGGUUCUUGCUCCUAAGAAGCCAAGUAAAACUUUGAUCACAUCUCAAAAAUUUAGCUUUUGUUUGGAUCAAGGCCAAAAUUUAGCCGCGUACUGAAAAAUUGGCUGGCUAAAUAUUUUCUAUAGCAAAGCUAGAUAAGAUUUUAGCAUCUAAAAUGGCCGCUUCGAUUUUUGGCCAGCCAAAAUUUUGACUUAGGCCUCAUUUGGAUAGGUUGCGGCUUCGGAGCUUCUAGCUAGCUGAGGAAGUGGUUGUGGCUGUUGAAUUUUAGUUGUUGGCUUUUACAAUAAACUUUUAUCUUCUUAGCACACCAAAAAACACCAGAAGCUGGUUCAAAAGUCAGCCGCUUGGAUAGCUUCUGGCUCUUUUCAGGAAAAAGCCGCUUUUAAGCCCAUCAAAAUAGACGGAUAGCCUCAAACCAAACACUACAUGACAUGGCCAAAUUUUAGCAUGACCCCAAUUUUUGCAUGGCUUCCUAGGGGCGAAAACCAAACAACCCCUUAAAGCCUCUGGUGACCCACCGAUUGUCCUUGGUGCUCCCGUUUUACAGACCAACGACUAGUUUCUCCCCUUCAACGGCUAAUUUUUUAGGUUAUCCCUAUGUAUUAUACCAUAUUGCUCUGUCAUUUGAAGGUGCUCUCACUCGUUGGAAAGCUUACACACAUAUUGGAGAGAUUGAGGCACUUUGGUAAUAAUAUUAAAGAUCAAGAUAAUUAGCAUAAGAUUAAGGAUGAAUAGUGUUAGUUUAGGCCUAGUCUGAAUCUAGCUAGGUAAUUAGAAUAGAAUGAAUCAAGUGAGUGAUCCACACUUAUUACUCUUGGUGCUUGCUGGUACCUAGAUGGUUUGGUAGCGGUAUAGUCUUGUGAGACCCUCCAAUUGAGUUUGUGGAGCGGUCGCAAGCCUUGUAAGAAGAAGGAGUGGCCUGUGCCAGAGUGGUGAAGCACUACCAUAGUGAAGACGAGCAGUGGGAAUCAGGGGUGAGACCUAGUAGGAGACCCACCGGCGUGAGGGGAGCUCUAACGGCUAGAAUCAUUGGAGUAGCCGAGUAGGGAGCUUGGCACUUGUGAGGGACUCCAACGUGGAUUAGAGGUGAGCGGCAAAACCGAUACCAAGGGAAAAAUCAUCAUGCUGAGUUUGCGCUCUCUAACUCAUUUAUAUUUUGCACUUAUUUAUUGCAUCAUUUAAUUUUCACAUUUACCUUUUCUAGAAUUUCUAUGUGUAGCUGUAGGAUUGGAACCUAGGGUGAAAACUUAUUACGAUGGAGUACCGCACUAAAUAAAUCUAAAUUAUAAUUAGAUAGAAAUUGAUUUAGAUUUAUCUUAUUGAUUUAAGCUAAUUAAUUUUAGAAACCCUAAUUCACUCUCCCUCUUAGACUAUCACCGUUCCUUAUAGACGUUUUUUGCAGUGCAGUGCCAAAAUUGCAAGUCCAGCUUCUUGUUACACUUUCUAUAUAGAAGUUUUUUACACCCUUGUGAACAAAAAUGUUUGUAAGACUAUUAGAUUUGUAACACCAUAAAGUUUGUACAGAUUUUCUAGUUAACAUUCGCAGGAUUUUUUUCACCGCAAAUUCAUUCAUUUUUGUGACCAUCGGAUGUAGAUCCAACCGUCUGCCUGCAUCUGGCUCAACCUUGUAUAAGUCAUUGUCUUCCACAAGCAGAUCGAUCUACUCCAGUCCCAAUCCACUACAUGGCCUCUUGUUGAUGAUAUACCCUAAGGUAAUCUUUAAAUCAGAUUGGAUCCGUGUGUGAGCCUUGCGGAUAAUGAUAUACGAGGGAUUAGAACUAUAAUAGACUUCCAACAUAUGGCAGUCUAUUAGUGGGGUCUAUAUAAGUGAAGUCGCGGGGCUAUGGGAGAAACAAAUUCCAUCACCCCGAAACUCUAGCCGUCUCCACGUGACCUCCCCACAAAUCCCUAGCUAGGUGCACGGUGCCAGCACACCAGCGUACAGUGUUCCACCCCUGGACAUGUGGAUAUCGUUGUGGCGUUGCUGCUGCUGUUGUUGUUGUUGCUGUACUGAUCGGCGACAAGGACGCAAGGAGGAGCCGACCAGUUCGUAAAGAGAUUGACUACUUUCUCUACACUCAUGCGCACGACAUUAGACCAGUCUUCUCCAACUCUUUUUUCGCUGCAAUGUGCAUCUAGUGAUAACGAUACAUGAUCGCCUACUCACAUGGUUUCCUAGAUGAACAUGAUAGAACUUUUGUUUUACGCUAGCGUAGCGUACCCGUUUCCCAACACCUUCACUGUUUUGCUUCUGCCGUCAACCUCACCCAUUGGCGAUCCUCUGUGACUGUGGUGGGUGGUGCCCCCGCUGCCUCGCCAUCCCACGCGCUGCCUUCCACCAUCGCUAGAUUAUCCGACUUCUGUUGGAAAUAUACGAAUUAUUCUAGUAUGAAAUUAAUCCUCAUGAUGCGUUAGGCUCUAUGUUAUGAAAUUGUGGUAGUGUCACGUACAUUGCUUUUGAUAGAUAUCCUAGUAUCCCUUACGGCAAAUACGGUGUAUAAAUAGAAAGCAUCGAGGCGACUUGCUCCGCCAGACCGCACAUGCAGGAUAGACAGAGUAAGUCAAGCGCGCAUGUACUGAAGAGUAACUGCGAGGGAACGCGUCCACCAGUAUGGCUACCGCCACCGCCGCCAGCUUCUUGCACCGGUGCCUCGUCGUGCUCGUCAUCCUCACAACCACCGUUCACUCGCUCCUGCAAAUCCGGCCGGGCAACACGGCCGGCGACGGCUUGUGCACACCGCGCGAGAGGGACGCCUUGCUGGCCUUCAAGCAAGGUAUCGCCAGCGACCGGGCAGGCCGCCUCAACUCAUGGCGGCGAGAUGACCGUGAGCAGGACUGUUGCCGGUGGAGAGGCGUCCGGUGCAGCAACCGGACUGGCCACGUCCGCGAGCUUCAACUCCGCAACACAACCCAGAUGGAUUGUGUGUUUAUCUAUGAAUACAUGAACUGUCAAUCAGUCAUUGUGAUUCAAACAGAAAUUGCAAGCAGCAACGUUGGGAAGACGUCCAUUGUUGUGACUCAUGCAGAAAGUUUUUAUAAACAGAGUAUCUCACCUUUUUCGUGAUUUAUUACAAAUUACUCCAAUUGAGUUCUUGAUAAUGAAUGAAACAAAACUUGUCUAGUACAAGUAAGAUUAAAGCAUGCAAGAUUUAUAUUCGUGUUACGUGGCAGUUUUAUAUUCGCGUUACGCAGCAGAAGCUAGCCUCAACUUUGCAUUGACAUUAACUCCAGUGCAUUGUUCUCUCUUUAAUAAACUCCAGAGUACCAAUAUGCUAUGCAUAGUCCUCUAACUCUCGGUCACAACGACAGCGUUAAAAUCAUGCUGCUGAAUCAAGAGCUUUGGUUGGAUAAAAUAUGAAAGGAAGGCAGGGCACACCAUCAAUAUACAUAACUGAUAAAAAAAACAACAAUUCACAUUCAACCUCUUCAUUGCUUCAAUGUUAUUGGUGUGAAGUGUCUGCUCCUUUCAUCUGCCAUUGUUGCGUAGAAGCCUGGCUGUGAGGUUGUCUUCUAGAAGCGUUAGCUCGGUUUCUCCUUCGAUGACCUGAAUUAUUGUGCUUAUUGCUACUGGUGUUGUUUGUCAGGCUGCGUUGCCCUGUUUCUGAGGUUGAAGUAGUGGUGUCUUCGCAGGGAUCAUUGUCUCCUGCAACUGUAGCUGGCACUCUGGGAGGAAGCGAAACAUACAUUCCAGGCUGUAUGGCGAGGUCUUUCUUCGGUUCGAUCAGGCCAUUUCGUUCUUGUUGCAGAUUAACCAGUGACUCAAUUUUUUUUCCUUCUAUACAUCUCUAACUCAGAAUGCAGCAACUCCUUUUUCUCUUCACCCAGGUCAAUUGUUAAUGAUGCCUAAAGGUGAACGGGUAAAAGAGAAGAGUUAUAGUGGCAGGAGCAGAUAAAGGAAGGACUUGGAGGCCGUAUACAUCUCAUGCUAGCAGGAGCAGCACCUUUGCCAAGGCACAUCGAAGAGUUCAUGCGGGUAACCAGCUGCAGUGUCUUUGUACAAGGAUACGGGCUCACAGAGAGUUGUGCAGGAUGCUUCACGUCUAUUGCCAAUGUUUUCUCAAUGAUUGGAACAGUUGGCCCUCCUGUCACGACGAUCGAGGCAUGACUGGAGUCCGUCCCUGAAAUGAGCUACGACGCGCUAUCAGACACGCCCCGGGGUGAGAUCUGCUUGAGGGGCCACACCUUGUUCUCGGGGUACUACAAGCGCCCUGACCUCACUGAAGAAGUGUUCUCAGAUGGCUGGUUCCAUACAGGUGAUAUUGGAGAGUGGCAACCCGAUGGGACGAUGAAGAUCAUCGACAGAAAGAAGAACAUCUUCAAGCUAUCCCAGGGAGAGUAUGUAGCAGUUGAGGUCCUGGAAAGCGCAUACACGCUGUCCCCUCUCGUUGCAUCGGUACGCCAAUUGAAGCCAACAAAAACUAAACCUAAGUACUUGAGCACUUAAUUAUGCUCCGAUUCAACUAGAGAACCUUUACAGUACACCAUGAUACUAGAUGGUGGAGAGUAUCAUUGUUGUGAUCCAACCGUCCAUUUUAGUAGGUAUUAUUGUAAUUAUCUUGGUACCCUUAGGGGUAAUUACGUCAUUGACUGGCCGGA